rnacentral:rRNA from 1 species
GACGAACGCUGGCGGCGCGCCUUACACAUGCAAGUCGAACGAGCGAGAGAGAGCUUGCUUUCUCGAGCGAGUGGCGAACGGGUGAGUAACGCGUGAGGAACCUGCCUCAAAGAGGGGGACAACAGUUGGAAACGACUGCUAAUACCGCAUAAGCCCACGGUGCCGCAUGGCACAGAGGGAAAAGGAGCAAUCCGCUUUGAGAUGGCCUCGCGUCCGAUUAGCUAGUUGGUGAGGUAAUGGCCCACCAAGGCGACGAUCGGUAGCCGGACUGAGAGGUUGAACGGCCACAUUGGGACUGAGACACGGCCCAGACUCCUACGGGAGGCAGCAGUGGGGAAUAUUGCACAAUGGGGGAAACCCUGAUGCAGCGACGCCGCGUGGAGGAAGAAGGUCUUCGGAUUGUAAACUCCUGUUGUUGGGGAAGAUAAUGACGGUACCCAACAAGGAAGAGACGGCUAACUACGUG